AGAGUUUGAUCCUGGCUCAGGACGAACGCUGGCGGCGUGCUUAACACAUGCAAGUCGACGGAAAGGCCCUUCGGGGUACUCGAGUGGCGAACGGGUGAGUAACACGUGGGUGAUCUGCCCUGCACUUUGGGAUAAGCCUGGGAAACUGGGUCUAAUACCGAAUACACCUCAUUGGAUGCAUGUCUGGUGGGGGAAAGCUUUUGCGGUGUGGGAUGGGCCCGCGGCCUAUCAGCUUGUUGUGGGGUGAUGGCCUACCAAGGCGACGACGGGUAGCCGGCCUGAGAGGGUGUCAGGCCACACUGGGACUGAGAUACGGCCCAGACUCCUACGGGAGGCAGCAGUGGGGAAUAUUGCACAAUGGGCGCAAGCCUGAUGCAGCGACGCCGCGUGGGGGAUGACGGCCUUCGGGUUGUAAACCCCUUUCAGUAGGGACGAAGCGCAAGUGACGGUACCUACAGAAGAAGGACCGGCCAACUACGUG
rnacentral:rRNA from 1 species